rnacentral:lncRNA from 1 species
UUGAACACAACUCCAAAACAAAAUGGCUGACACUGUUACAGCUGCUCUGGAUCCAGUAGAAACAACAAAACAGAAACUACAAGCCUGUUAAACUCCAAGCCCCCUCUGGCUCGUGUGGAUGUAGCAGACCUUGAAACCUGCAAGACGAAAGGAAGUACACAAGGUAGCUGGGAGGAGAGGCCAUGGAGGAGCUCUGACCUGUGAAAAAUGGGAAACUGAUCUUCACUGAGUCUCACCUGCCCAAAAGCUGGAGAACAAAAAGGCCAGCAGCUGUUUUGGCAUCUCUUUAUUUCUCUCUCUCAGUGGGGAAAAUUGCUUCACUCACAAGUUUUAGCCAAGAGUCACAGCAUCGUAACCAGGGAGUGAAGGAGACCGUGCACAGCCUCGAACAAAGGGCUCCCAUUCUGGAGGAAAAACAACCCCCCCAUGCUUGAGAGGCAGGUGCUGCAGCUCGGGAAGAAGGAAGGUGACAAAGCAGAUUCAGCAGCGGAAGGUCUUGCUCACACGUGCUCUGACCUUUACUCCAGCUAUGGGAACAGUACCCAGUACCUCGCGAGCAGUCCGCAUGGUGAUUGUCAACAAAAGCCAAUCAACAGAUGGGGUGCAUCGGGAGGAGAGGAGAUGGAAUCAGUACUCUGUUGGCACUUGGGGUGCUCAGCCACAGUGGUCAACUUAAAUUCUAUUCAGAGUAAAUUGUCAGGACCUUGUUAGCAGUCCAGCAAAUCAUUCCUUAUAUCUUUGCCCAUGGGAAUGGUAAUAAAGUCCAGUUUUGUUGUCACAGUACUAGUCACACCUGAUGUUUUGUAUUUAUAGAGAAUAAUGUUAUUGCAUCACAUCUUGUAGUGAGGAUAUACAUCCUUGCAUUGUGUAUUGUGCUACAAAGUGAAAAGGUUUCACCUUUGUUUUAAAUCACCCUGUAUUUGUAGGAAUUUAUAGCCAACAAAAGCAUUAAAGACCAAUGAGAGAUUUUUUUUUUUUUGUAAAGCAUCUCAUGUGAAUUCAGUGUAGUAAUGUUGUCUAAAGGAAUGACCUUGAAUGUCUGGUUUGUAUGCAUGAUAUGUGUAUGUUUAAAAAAAACAGGGCUGCAGAGGCUUCAUGUAAUAAAUCUGCACUAUAGAAAGAAAAAUGUUUUUGCGGCUGCUGUAUAAAAUAUACUUGUGUAGCAUUUGGA